AAUAAACGCUGGCGGCGUGCUUAACACAUGCAAGUCGAGCGAGAAAGUCCUUCGGGACGAGUACAGCGGCGGACGGGUGAGUAACGCGUGAGAAUCUACCUUUCAGUGGAGAAUACCCUCGAGAAAUCGAGGUUAAUACUGCAUACGUCCUACGGGAGACAGUUGGCCUCUUUGCUAUCGCUGAAAGAUGAGCUUGCGUGCUAUUAGCUAGUUGGUGGGGUAAUGGCUAACCAAGGCUAUGAUGGCUAGCCGGCCUGAGAGGGUGUACGGCCACAUUGGAACUGAGACACGGUCCAGACUCCUACGGGAGGCAGCAGUGGGGAAUAUUGCACAAUGGGGGAAACCCUGAUGCAGCGACGCCGCGUGGAGGAAGAAGGUCUUCGGAUUGUAAACUCCUGUUGUUGAGGAAGAUAAUGACGGUACUCAACAAGGAAGUGACGGCUAACUACGUGCCAGCAGCCGCCGUAACAC
rnacentral:rRNA from 1 species